rnacentral:tRNA from 2 species
GGGCCGUUAGCUCAGUUGGUAGAGCACCGGACUUUUAAUCCGAUGGUCGUAGGUUCGAAUCCUACACGGCCCACCA